rnacentral:rRNA from 1 species
CCUACGGGUGGCAGCAGUGAGGAAUAUUGGUCAAUGGACGAGAGUCUGAACCAGCCAAGUAGCGUGAAGGAUGACUGCCCUAUGGGUUGUAAACUUCUUUUAUAUGGGAAUAAAACGUUCCACGUGUGGGAUUUUGUAUGUACCAUAUGAAUAAGGAUCGGCUAACUCCGUGCCAGCAGCCGCGGUAAUACGGAGGCUCCGAGCGUUAUCCGGAUUUAUUGGGUUUAAAGGGAGCGUAGGUGGAUUGUUAAGUCAGUUGUGAAAGUUUGCGGCUCAACCGUAAAAUUGCAGUUGAAACUGGCAGUCUUGAGUACAGUAGAGGUGGGCGGAAUUCGUGGUGUAGCGGUGAAAUGCUUAGAGAUCACGAAGAACUCCGAUUGCGAAGGCAGUUCACUGGACUGCAACUGACACUGAGGCUCGAAAGUGUGGGUAUCAAACAGGAUUAGAUACCCUAGUAGUC